UUUGUAACAAUGGCUUUAGUGGCGGACUGGUGAGUAACACGUAAGCAAUCUACCUAUUAGAGGGGAAUAACAAUGAGAAAUCAUUGCUAAUACCGCAUAAGCUUGUAGUACCGCAUGGUACAGCAAGAAAAGGAGCAAUCCGCUAAUAGAUGAGCUUGCGGCUGAUUAGCUAGUUGGUGUGGUAACGGCAUACCAAGGCAACGAUCAGUAGCCGGGCUGAGAGGCUCUUCGGCCACAUUGGGACUGAGAUACGGCCCAGACUCCUACGGGAGGCAGCAGUCGGGAAUUUUGCGCAAUGGAGGAAACUCUGACGCAGUGACGCCGCGUAUAGGAAGAAGGUUUUCGGAUUGUAAACUAUUUUAGUCAGGGAAGAAAAAUGACAGUACCUGAAGAAUAAGCUCCGGCUAACUACGUGCCAGCAGCCGCGGUAAUACGUAGGGAGCAAGCGUUAUCCGGAUUUAUUGGGUGUAAAGGGUGCGUAGACGGGAAGACAAGUUGGUUGUGAAAGCCCUCGGCUCAACUGAGGAACUGCAACCAAAACUAUCAUUCUUGAGUGCGGGAGAGGAAAGUGGAAUUCCUAGUGUAGCGGUGAAAUGCGUAGAUAUUAGGAGGAACACCAGUGGCGAAGGCGACUUUCUGGACCGUA
rnacentral:rRNA from 1 species